rnacentral:tRNA from 1 species
UUUAAUAUGGCAGAAUAAGUGCAAUAGAUUUAAACUCUAUAAAUAAAUAUUUAAAAAAUUAUUUUAUUAAAA